rnacentral:tRNA from 1 species
GCGGGUGUAGUUCAGUAGCAGAACAUCCUCCUUCCAGGAGGAAGACGUGAGUGCGAUUCUUGCCGCCCGCUCGA